CAGUGGGUUAACCAGCCCUGGAAGUUCAGUCCACUGAAAGGUAGAGAGGUUUGAGGUUGGACGUUACAUACUUAGAAAAAAAAAUCAUGUUUUUACUAAUACUAUAGUGCUAUGCAGUCAAAGCAUCUUUCAUAUGAGGUUCUCAAAGCGUUUGACCAACUUUAACUAACCAUUUCUCACAGUACCCCUAUCUGGUUGGUAACUAUUCAGUUUCCUCUUGGUUUUGGAAGUACUUCUCUGGAUACCUGUCCACACUAGAGGCAAAGUACUUUAGUUGUGUGAUAGUACAAAACUGAUGUCCUAAACCUUUGCUUUUCCGUUAUAACGUUUGCAUGUCUCCAGAAGCACAGUUUGCUAGCUGACUCUGGUCUGUAUUCCCAUUGCAGGUUUUUUCUCCUGGUUUUUUUUUUUUCUUUAACAUUCCUCCCUUUUUCUUCUUUUUUGAUCAGGGUUUUGUGGAAAGAAAUGGGGAAUUGUAACAGGUGGCAUAUUGCUUAGGUGCUGGAGGGUCUGCGGCUGGCCCACCCUGAUUACUAAAGAGACACACCUGGGUUGGAUCAGGUAAUUCUCUACAAAGGGCAGCAGAUGGCUGCAGUAUAGAGUGAAGUGCAGGAAGUAAACAAGGUGUCUGUGGGAAAGACCCUUAUAGCAGGGGGUGGGGUAUUAGCUAGAGUUAGAAACAUGAGGCUCCAGCCAUGGAGGGAGUGGCCUGCCAAAGCAGAAAAGACUAGAGGCCUGGGAAUAGGGUGUUGCUGGUAGUAUAAGGAAACUGUGGCCAGAGAGCUGAGCUCCUGUCCCAAAGGACUGGGACUGGUAGCUUUGGGUGGAGCAGACUGGGCUGAAGGAAGAACUCCCUGUGUGGGAGAAGAGCCUAGGCUAAUAAACUUUAGUUACUGAAGUAAUUGGCCGGGUUGUCUUUAGUGAGAUCCUGAGCAUCUAGUCCUGGGAUAUUGCCACAGGUGUUGAGUACAGAGCACUGCAGUGUGCUGUACUAGCAAGGGUUCCAGCCAAAGGCCGUUGGGGAAACAUCAGCCAGCGCAGGACAUGAUAACCUGCUUGUUCAGUGAUGGGUCUCAGAGGGAGUCCAUUACGCUUAUGCGUCAUGAUGUGCAUUUCUGUAUCUCCCCAGUAGUAUUCAGGUGCAGUGCAAGGGCUUUAGUUUUGACAUGACAACCCCAUGGUUUAAAUCAGAGGAGCAGGUGGUUGGACAUGCUCCAUGAGGGAACCAUGACUUUGGAAUCCUGCUGUCCCUUUUCGUCCAAGAGAGCCUGGAUUUAAUGACUUUCAGAUUAGGCCACAAGGCCUAUCUUUUCUUCUCUUAGGUGUCAGUGGAAGAAGAUGCUGAUAAGAUGGAUUUGGGGGGAAGGAUUUUGUUGUGAUCAGGGUUGGGCAAUUUUUCUUCCAGAAUUCCUUUUUUUUUUUUUUUUUUUUUUUUUUUUUGAGAUGUUCAUCCACUGAAUGAUGGAAAUGGCUCCUGGGCUGGGUCAUGGGGAUGUCAGCAGCUUCUGGAGUGUAAUGAAGUAAAUGUGUCUUGUACUCCCAAACUUUACAAAAAGCAGUAUUUAGCUAAUUGAAGUCAAUGGGCUCCUAAGCCUUUUUGCUUUCUCAUUGUUUUGCAUGGGAGCGAUUACAAAUGCAGUGACCAUCUGCCUAAUAUUUCCAUCUUUUGCCCUGUAAUAUGCCAUCCUCUCCAAACUGCAUUGAGUGGAAGGAAACCAAAAGAUAUCUGUAAAGUUGGUUUUAAUGCAUUUUUUAAAAACAACUAAUAUAAAUCCCCACUCAAUUGCAAUGGGUUUUUGUAUUGCAGGCCUGAUGCUGCUUUUCCUGGAGAGGAAAAAAAAAAAAACACACACAGUGAGCACUGCAAAUGGAAUGUUAUCCUGAACCCAUAAUCCAGCUGCUCAUUCCCCAUACAGAUUAAUUCUACAUCUGGAAUCAUCUAGAUAGUGAAAGAUGAGGCAGGAAAUGAAUAUGGUAAAACUUCCUUCCCAUGCGUUUGGACAGCCGGCUCCAAUCUGUAAUGUCUCCUCCAUUGUACCCUCUGUGCGACGUGCACAGGCAGGGGAAAAAUGAAUGAAAACCUGGAAAUGCCAAGUAACAAUGCCUGAUCUAGUGUCCUGCUGGGGCUUUGAGACACAAUCCAGCUGCACUCCCCAACCUGGAGGUAUGCCACAAAACUGCACAAAGUCCCUCCUUGCUGCACAUCAAAUUGUGGGUUGGCAUAGCAGCUGCUUUUCCUUUCUCACUAGUACUGUGCAAGAGCAUAUCAUGCACUGAACAUUGCACCUUCUCCCCCAGUAACCCACCCUGGGUGGAGUCGGUGCACAGGAUGUGUUGGUCAAGGGGUUCUCAA